UUGUGUGAAGGAUAGAAACGGCAUCCUUUUUCGUCUUUUUUGAAUGUUGUUUUUUUAGAUAAUUGUUUCUGACGAAAAAGAUAUAGUGGAUAGCCUGACCUUGU
rnacentral:sRNA from 1 species